GACAGAGGGUGCGAGCGUUGUCUGGAAUUACUGGGCGUAAAGAGCUCGUAGGUGGUUUGUCGCGUUGUUCGUGAAAACUCAAGGCUUAACCUUGGGCGUGCGGGCGAUACGGGCAGACUGGAGUACUGCAGGGGAGACUGGAAUUCCUGGUGUAGCGGUGGAAUGCGCAGAUAUCAGGAGGAACACCAGUUGCGAAGGCGGCUCUCUGACCAGCACUGACACUGAGGCACGAAAGCGUGGGGAGCAAACAGG
rnacentral:rRNA from 1 species